AGCAGCCGCGGUAAUUCCAGCUCCAAUAGCGUAUAUUAAAGUUGUUGCAGUUAAAAAGCUCGUAGUUGAAUUUCGGGAUCAAUAUAUCGGUCAUGCUUAGGUAUGUACUGGUAUUAUUGAUUUCUCCCUUCUGAAGAACCAUGAUGUCAUUUAUUUGAUGUCGUGGGGAAUCAGGACUGUUACUUUGAAAAAUUAGAGUGUUUAAAGCAGGCUUUCGCUUGAAUACAUUAGCAUGGAAUAAUGAAAUAGGACGUUUGAUUCUAUUUUGUUGGUUUUCUAGGAUCGACGUAAUGAUUAAUAGGGAUAGUUGGGGGCAUUAGUAUUCAAUUGUCAGAGGUGAAAUUCUUGGAUUUAUUGAAGACUAACUACUGCGAAAG
rnacentral:rRNA from 1 species